rnacentral:rRNA from 1 species
CCAGACUCCUACGGGAGGCAGCAGUGGGGAAUAUUGGGCAAUGGGCGCAAGCCUGACCCAGCAACGCCGCGUGAAGGAAGAAGGCCCUCGGGUUGUAAACUUCUUUUAUCAGGGACGAAACAAAUGACGGUACCUGAUGAAUAAGCCACGGCUAACUACGUGCCAGCAGCCGCGGUAAUACGUAGGUGGCAAGCGUUAUCCGGAUUUACUGGGUGUAAAGGGCGUGUAGGCGGGAGAGCAAGUCAGACGUGAAAUUCCAGGGCUCAACCCUGGAACUGCGUUUGAAACUGUUCCUCUUGAGUGAUGGAGAGGCAGGCGGAAUUCCGUGUGUAGCGGUGAAAUGCGUAGAUAUUAGGAGGAACACCGGUGGCGAAGGCGGCCUGCUGGACUGUGACUGACGUUGAGGCCCGAAGGCGUGGGGAGCAAACAGGAUUAGAUACCCGCGUA